rnacentral:rRNA from 1 species
CAAGAGCGUAUAUUAAAGUUGCUGCGGUUAAAAAGCUCGUAGUUGGAUUUCUGCUGAGAACGACCGGUCCGCCCUUUGGGUGUGUAUCUGGCUCUUUCUUGGCAUCUUCUUGGUGAACGUUGCUGCACUUGACUGUGUGGAGCGCUACCCAGGACUUUUACUUUGAGGAAAUUAGAGUGUUUCAAGCAGGCAUACGCCUUGAAUACAUUAGCAUGGAAUAAUAAGAUAGGACCUCGGUUCUAUUUUGUUGGUUUCUAGAGCUGAGGUAAUGAUUAAUAGGGAUAGUUGGGGGCAUUCGUAUUUAACUGCCAGAGGUGAAAUUCUUGGAUUUGUUAAAGACGGACUACUGCGAAAGCAUUUGCCAAGGAUGUUUUCAUUGA